rnacentral:rRNA from 1 species
UACGUAGGGUGCGAGCGUUGUCCGGAAUUAUUGGGCGUAAAGAGCUUGUAGGCGGUCUGUCGCGUCUGCUGUGAAAAUCCGGGGCUCAACCCCGGACUUGCAGUGGGUACGGGCAGACUAGAGUGUGGUAGGGGAGACUGGAAUUCCUGGUGUAGCGGUGAAAUGCGCAGAUAUCAGGAGGAACACCGAUGGCGAAGGCAGGUCUCUGGGCCACUACU